CGGCCGGUCGGGCGGCUGCUGCUCCGCGCCCUCGGAGGGCGCGGAGGGCGCGGAGCUCUCCGGCCGCUCGGGCUCGGGCUCGGCCUCC
rnacentral:tRNA from 1 species